AAUAGAUACCCUGGUAGUCCACGCCGUAAACGAUGAGUGCUAAGUGUUAGAGGGUUUCCGCCCUUUAGUGCUGCAGCUAACGCAUUAAGCACUUCGCCUGGGGAGUACGGUCGCAAGACUGAAACUCAAAGGAAUUGACGGGGGCCCGCACAAGCGGUGGAGCAUAUGGUUUAAUUCGAAGCAACGCGAAGAACCUUACCAGGUCUUGACAUCCUCUGACAACUCUAGAGAUAGAGCGUUCCCCUUCGGGGGACAGAGUGACAGGUGGUGCAUGGUUGUCGUCAGCUCGUGUCGUGAGAUGUUGGGUUAAGUCCCGCAACGAGCGCAACCCUUGAUCUUAGUUGCCAGCAUUUAGUUGGGCACUCUAAGGUGACUGCCGGUGACAAACCGGAGGAAGGUGGGGAUGACGUCAAAUCAUCAUGCCCCUUAUGACCUGGGCUACACACGUGCUACAAUGGAUGGUACAAAGGGCUGCAAGACCGCGAGGUCAAGCCAAUCCCAUAAAACCAUUCUCAGUUCGGAUUGUAGG
rnacentral:rRNA from 1 species